UACGUAGGGUGCAAGCGUUGUCCGGAAUUAUUGGGCGUAAAGAGCUCGUAGGCGGUUUGUUGCGUCGGCUGUGAAAUCCCGAGGCUCAACCUCGGGUCUGCAGUCGAUACGAGCAAACUAGAGUGUUGCAGGGGAGACUGGAAUUCCUGGUGUAGCGGUGAAAUGCGCAGAUAUCAGGAGGAACACCGGUGGCGAAGGCGGGUCUCUGGACCAGCAUUGACACUCAAGCACGAAAGCGUGGGGAGCAAACAGG
rnacentral:rRNA from 1 species